GAAAUGCGAUAAGUAAUGUGAAUUGCAGAGUUUUGUGAAUCAUCGAAUCUUUGAACGCACAUUGCGCCCCCCGGCAUUCCGGCGGGCAUGCCUGUCCGAGCGUCGUUGCAACCCAUCGAGUGACAUCUCGGUCUUGGGCGCCGUCCGUCCUCCCCGGGUGGACGCGCCCCAAAGCCCUCGGCGGCCCCUCGCGCGCGCCGGUGCGUCUUCGAAUGCACCCGCUCCGCGCGUCGCGCCCGGGACCCGCCCGCAAAGCAGCAACAGAACGUCUGACCUCGGAUCAGGUAGGGCUACCCGCUGAACUUAAGC
rnacentral:misc_RNA from 1 species